GCCCAGAGCCUGAAUCAGUGUGUGUGUUAGUGGAAGCGUCUGGAAAGGCGCGCGAUACAGGGUGACAGCCCCGUACACAAAAAUGCACAUGCUGUGAGCUCGAUGAGUAGGGCGGGACACGUGGUAUCCUGUCUGAAUAUGGGGGGACCAUCCUCCAAGGCUAAAUACUCCUGACUGACCGAUAGUGAACCAGUACCGUGAGGGAAAGGCGAAAAGAACCCCGGCGAGGGGAGUGAAAAAGAACCUGAAACCGUGUACGUACAAGCAGUGGGAGCACGCUUAGGCGUGUGACUGCGUACCUUUUGUAUAAUGGGUCAGCGACUUAUAUUCUGUAGCAAGGUUAACCGAAUAGGGGAGCCGAAGGGAAACCGAGUCUUAACUGGGCGUUAAGUUGCAGGGUAUAGACCCGAAACCCGGUGAUCUAGCCAUGGGCAGGUUGAAGGUUGGGUAACACUAACUGGAGGACCGAACCGACUAAUGUUGAAAAAUUAGCGGAUGACUUGUGGCUGGGGGUGAAAGGCCAAUCAAACCGGGAGAUAGCUGGUUCUCCCCGAAAGCUAUUUAGGUAGCGCCUCGUGAAUUCAUCUCCGGGGGUAGAGCACUGUUUCGGCAAGGG
rnacentral:rRNA from 1 species